rnacentral:rRNA from 1 species
UAACGCGUGAGGAACCUGCCUCAAAGAGGGGGACAACAGUUGGAAACGACUGCUAACACCGCAUAAGCCCACAGCUCGGCAUCGAGCAGAGGGAAAAGGAGUGAUCCGCUUUGAGAUGGCCUCGCGUCCGAUUAGCUAGUUGGUGAGGUAAUGGCCCACCAAGGCGACGAUCGGUAGCCGGACUGAGAGGUUGAACGGCCACAUUGGGACUGAGACACGGCCCAG